GGUUAGAGUGUCGGGAACCUGUGUGAAGGGAAGAGGAAGGAGCGACGAGACUCUCGACAAGGAAGCAAGACGGAGAACAAGCGUGGACAAGCGUGACCGGCGAGGCUCCGGAAGGCUGCUCUCUCGUAGUAAGGAGAGAGAAAGAAGUCCUAGAGAGACGAGGACAGGAAGAAUAAUAAGGACUUCGUGCUUCCGCCUUGAUCAACAGGACGUUCGGGUUUACUUUUGGGAGGAAUUGGUAGAGGAAACAGUUGAAUUUAAAGAGGUCUAAGUUUCCAUGUUACCAUUUUUCUCGCAAGUACAACGAUGCACUUGCAGGAAGCAAUUACACCCUUUCUCAUCAUUCCACAGGCAAGAGUAUUAAGAUUUCGAGAGGAGGUCUAACGAAUGUUGAGAUGACUCGUGGAAGAAGAGCAC